rnacentral:rRNA from 1 species
UACGUAGGCAGCGAGCGUUGUUCGGAGUUACUGGGCUUAAAGGGUGCGUAGGCGGCGUGGUAAGUUGGGUGUGAAAUCCCUCGGCUCAACCGAGGAACUGCGCCCAAAACUACCAUGCUUGAGGAAGAUAGAGGUAAGCGGAACUUACGGUGGAGCGGUGAAAUGCGUUGAUAUCGUAAGGAACACCUGUGGCGAAAGCGGCUUACUGGGUCUUUUCUGACGCUGAUGCACGAAAGCCAGGGGAGCAAACGGG